rnacentral:rRNA from 1 species
ACGGGUGAGUAAUGUCUGGGGAUCUGCCCGAUAGAGGGGGAUAACCACUGGAAACGGUGGCUAAUACCGCAUAACGUCGCAAGACCAAAGAGGGGGACCUUCGGGCCUCUCACUAUCGGAUGAACCCAGAUGGGAUUAGCUAGUAGGCGGGGUAAUGGCCCACCUAGGCGACGAUCCCUAGCUGGUCUGAGAGGAUGACCAGCCACACUGGAACUGAGACACGGUCCAGACUCCUACGGGAGGCAGCAGUGGGGAAUAUUGCACAAUGGGCGCAAGCCUGAUGCAGCCAUGCCGCGUGUAUGAAGAAGGCCUUCGGGUUGUAAAGUACUUUCAGCGGGGAGGAAGGCGAUGGGGUUAAUAACCCUGUCGAUUGACGUUACCCGCAGAAGAGGCACCGGCUAACUCCGUGCCAGCAGCCGCGGUAAUACGGAGGGUGCAAGCGUUAAUCGGAAUUACUGGGCGUAAAGCGCACGCAGGCGGUCUGUUAAGUCAGAUGUGAAAUCCCCGGGCUUAACCUGGGAACUGCAUUUGAAACUGGCAGGCUUGAGUCUUGUAGAGGGGGGUAGAAUUCCAGGUGUAGC